ensembl:lncRNA
CAUGGUCUCAGUGAUGCAACAAAUGAAAUUGGAAUAAUGACAAAGAUGUAAAUUUCUGUCUGUGGUCGGGCAGGAAGUGCCUAAAUCUGGAGAGACACACCUUCAGUCUGACUCUGAGUCAGUGCUGAGAGACUCUGAGAACUCCUGGAAACCGAGCCCACAGAAAAAACUGAUGUCAAACCUUCUGAGAACCCAACAGCCGGCUGGUUUCCUCAGAAGACACUUUGAUUCAGGAUGGACAGAGGAUAAAUAUCAGCAUCAGCAGCAUGAAGGCUUCACAUCACAUCAUUCACAGGACAAGACCAGUGGACCAGACUGAAGUCUCCCAGCUGCUGCACACCUCCAUCUCAAGGCAACAAUGCAUUGUGGGUACCUGCGUUUCCUGUUUCUGGUGCUGUGGGCGGAGCUUGCAGCAGGUAAAGCGUUACCUACCGACAGACCAGACACUGAAAUGCAAAGCAUCAUUGAGGACCUGCUGGCGGCGCUGCAAAACUAUAGUCGUGUCCUCAGAGAGACGGACUCCCUGAGAGAUCUGCCAGUACAGCCCUGCACAGAGGCUCCUGCUCACCUGACCCAGAGCUUGACUGUGGCCAGCAGACUGUUGCACUAUAAGAACUGUGCUGAGAAGCUCCGAGCCUUCUGUCCAGACAACAGCGCUCUGUGUCGAGUCGUGGUCCUGAACCAGGACCUGCUGCAACACCUGAUAAACACAAGAUACUGUUCAUUCAAGGCAGCUUCGGGGAAUUUGGUGAAGAUGCAACACUCACGGAUUCGCCUCUGUCGGCACAACAACAGGACGCUGAGCGCCAUGGCGACGGUCAACAGGACGACACACACGGCACCAGUGAUGGAGGCCAGCAGCACACACUGACUGGACUUUCCUGCAGACACAUCGAGCAUACAGGCGCAGUAGAAACCUUAAAGAAUAUCUGGAUAUCUGGAUUUCAUCUCACAUGAAAAACUCUUGCACACAGGACACCUCCACUCCUGCAGACCAGCUCUCUGCAGGAACAUGAACCUGUUGGCUGAUGACGACCGCCUGGCUGACGGGGAGGAUGGUGGGACUGAGCUGCUGGAUGCCAUCAGCCCCAACCACCUCCCAGUCCACCGUGACCUGAUCAGGGUCCUUCACUCCAGACACCAGACAGGUCAACGGGAUGGGGAGGAACGAGUUGACGUCUGAGGGGACCAGGAGCUCGACUGCAGGACUUUGGAGCUGCGACUCUGAUGAGAAAGUCCACAGUUUUUUGAUUUCAACUUAAACCAGACUCUAAAGUUGUUAGUCUAUUAAGUUACAGAUUACGCUCUUGCAGAGAGGAACAGAAGUUCACCUUUGGAGGAUGGAGGAGCUGUUGGACGCAAAAGACUUUUCAACAAGCAGGAGUCCGUUGAUGUAGACGCAGUAAUGCCUGCCGACGUCCUGCAGGGUGGCCUUGGAGAUCUCCAGCCGACACACCUUCCCUCUAUCAGCUCCAGACACAACGCUUGAGACUCUGAGGUUGCUCACCUGUCCGACGUGCAGCCACGCCACCUCAGAGCACCGCCCACCUGUCUCAGUGACGUCACACUGGAG